CUCUCACUGAUCUCCUCAAGUUCUCUGGAGAGGUCAGCUCUCUGCUUCUCAACCUUGGCACGAGCAGCACGCUCAGCCUCGAUCUCUUCCUCCAGUUCCUCAAUACGAGCCUAUUGAACUUUCUCGUCAGACUGCUGCUUGUCAUUCUCAAGAUCCAUGAUGGAUUCCUGGGCCAGUUUCAGAUCACCCUCCAGCUUCCUCUUGGUUCUCUCAAGGUCCAUACGCAGCUUCUUCUCUUGCUCCAGAGAACCCUCAAGCUAAACAGUAACAUGAGUUUUCAAUCAUCAUGGUCAAGUCAAAUCUUGCAUUGGCAAUCCAACCUGCAGGUCAUCAAGAGUCUGCUGAUGAGCCUCCUGAAGGGCUUUCUUUUCCUUGGUCAGCUUGGCAAUGCUCUCAUCCUGAGAGGCCAUCUCCUCAGUCAGUGGCAUGUUUCUCCUUCUCCACUUUGGCCAAGGUAAGCUCCAGGUCAUCAAUAUCCUUCUUGAGCUCAGAGCAUUCAUCCUCCAGCUUUCUUUUCUUGGCAGUGAGCUCAGCAUUGAUUUCCUCUUCAUCUUCCAGUCUCUCAGUUGUCUCUUUGAGUUUGGCCUCCAGUUGGAUCUUGCUCUUGAUAAGACCCUCACAUCUCUCCUCAGCAUCUGACAGAUUCUCUGAUUCCUAGUUUGUAUUAUGAAAAAAGAUGUGAGCACUCAACACGGAAAACAUGGAAAAGCACAACUAUCUGUUGAUGGGUACUUACAGAUGC